rnacentral:rRNA from 1 species
GACGGGGAUGCAAGUGUUAUCCGGAUUUACUGGGCGUAAAGCGUCUGCAGGUGGUUUCUUAAGUCUACUGUUAAAUCUUGAGGCUCAACCUCAAAUCUGCAGUAGAAACUAGGAGACUUGAGUAUUAGUAGGGGUAGAGGGAAUUUCCAGUGGAGCGGUGAAAUGCGUAGAUAUUGGAAAGAACACCGAUGGCGAAGGCACUCUACUGGGCUAUUACUGACACUCAAAGAUGAAAGCUAGGGGAGCAAAUGGG